UUAAGCGACUAAGCGUACACGGUGGAUGCCCUGGCAGUCAGAGGCGAUGAAGGACGUGCUAAUCUGCGAUAAGCGUCGGUAAGGUGAUAUGAACCGUUAUAACCGGCGAUUUCCGAAUGGGGAAACCCAGUGUGAUUCGUCACACUAUCAUUAACUGAAUCCAUAGGUUAAUGAGGCGAACCGGGGGAACUGAAACAUCUAAGUACCCCGAGGAAAAGAAAUCAACCGAGAUUCCCCCAGUAGCGGCGAGCGAACGGGGAGCAGCCCAGAGCCUGAAUCAGUGUGUGUGUUAGUGGAAGCGUCUGGAAAGGCGCGCGAUACAGGGUGACAGCCCCGUACACAAAAAUGCACAUGCUGUGAGCUCGAUGAGUAGGGCGGGACACGUGGUAUCCUGUCUGAAUAUGGGGGGACCAUCCUCCAAGGCUAAAUACUCCUGACUGACCGAUAGUGAACCAGUACCGUGAGGGAAAGGCGAAAAGAACCCCGGCGAGGGGAGUGAAAAAGAACCUGAAACCGUGUACGUACAAGCAGUGGGAGCACGCUUAGGCGUGUGACUGCGUACCUUUUGUAUAAUGGGUCAGCGACUUAUAUUCUGUAGCAAGGUUAACCGAAUAGGGGAGCCGAAGGGAAACCGAGUCUUAACUGGGCGUUAAGUUGCAGGGUAUAGACCCGAAACCCGGUGAUCUAGCCAUGGGCAGGUUGAAGGUUGGGUAACACUAACUGGAGGACCGAACCGACUAAUGUUGAAAAAUUAGCGGAUGACUUGUGGCUGGGGGUGAAAGGCCAAUCAAACCGGGAGAUAGCUGGUUCUCCCCGAAAGCUAUUUAGGUAGCGCCUCGUGAAUUCAUCUCCGGGGGUAGAGCACUGUUUCGGCAAGGGGGUCAUCCCGACUUACCAACCCGAUGCAAACUGCGAAUACCGGAGAAUGUUAUCACGGGAGACACACGGCGGGUGCUAACGUCCGUCGUGAAGAGGGAAACAACCCAGACCGCCAGCUAAGGUCCCAAAGUCAUGGUUAAGUGGGAAACGAUGUGGGAAGGCCCAGACAGCCAGGAUGUUGGCUUAGAAGCAGCCAUCAUUUAAAGAAAGCGUAAUAGCUCACUGGUCGAGUCGGCCUGCGCGGAAGAUGUAACGGGGCUAAACCAUGCACCGAAGCUGCGGCAGCGACGCUGAUGCGUUGUUGGGUAGGGGAGCGUUCUGUAAGCCUGUGAAGGUGUGCUGUGAGGCAUGCUGGAGGUAUCAGAAGUGCGAAUGCUGACAUAAGUAACGAUAAAGCGGGUGAAAAGCCCGCUCGCCGGAAGACCAAGGGUUCCUGUCCAACGUUAAUCGGGGCAGGGUGAGUCGACCCCUAAGGCGAGGCCGAAAGGCGUAGUCGAUGGGAAACAGGUUAAUAUUCCUGUACUUGGUGUUACUGCGAAGGGGGGACGGAGAAGGCUAUGUUGGCCGGGCGACGGUUGUCCCGGUUUAAGCGUGUAGGCUGGUUUUCCAGGCAAAUCCGGAAAACUAAGGCUGAGGCGUGAUGACGAGGCACUACGGUGCUGAAGCAACAAAUGCCCUGCUUCCAGGAAAAGCCUCUAAGCAUCAGGUAACAUCAAAUCGUACCCCAAACCGACACAGGUGGUCAGGUAGAGAAUACCAAGGCGCUUGAGAGAACUCGGGUGAAGGAACUAGGCAAAAUGGUGCCGUAACUUCGGGAGAAGGCACGCUGAUAUGUAGGUGAAGUCCCUCGCGGAUGGAGCUGAAAUCAGUCGAAGAUACCAGCUGGCUGCAACUGUUUAUUAAAAACACAGCACUGUGCAAACACGAAAGUGGACGUAUACGGUGUGACGCCUGCCCGGUGCCGGAAGGUUAAUUGAUGGGGUUAGCGCAAGCGAAGCUCUUGAUCGAAGCCCCGGUAAACGGCGGCCGUAACUAUAACGGUCCUAAGGUAGCGAAAUUCCUUGUCGGGUAAGUUCCGACCUGCACGAAUGGCGUAAUGAUGGCCAGGCUGUCUCCACCCGAGACUCAGUGAAAUUGAACUCGCUGUGAAGAUGCAGUGUACCCGCGGCAAGACGGAAAGACCCCGUGAACCUUUACUAUAGCUUGACACUGAACAUUGAGCCUUGAUGUGUAGGAUAGGUGGGAGGCUUUGAAGUGUGGACGCCAGUCUGCAUGGAGCCGACCUUGAAAUACCACCCUUUAAUGUUUGAUGUUCUAACGUUGACCCGUAAUCCGGGUUGCGGACAGUGUCUGGUGGGUAGUUUGACUGGGGCGGUCUCCUCCUAAAGAGUAACGGAGGAGCACGAAGGUUGGCUAAUCCUGGUCGGACAUCAGGAGGUUAGUGCAAUGGCAUAAGCCAGCUUGACUGCGAGCGUGACGGCGCGAGCAGGUGCGAAAGCAGGUCAUAGUGAUCCGGUGGUUCUGAAUGGAAGGGCCAUCGCUCAACGGAUAAAAGGUACUCCGGGGAUAACAGGCUGAUACCGCCCAAGAGUUCAUAUCGACGGCGGUGUUUGGCACCUCGAUGUCGGCUCAUCACAUCCUGGGGCUGAAGUAGGUCCCAAGGGUAUGGCUGUUCGCCAUUUAAAGUGGUACGCGAGCUGGGUUUAGAACGUCGUGAGACAGUUCGGUCCCUAUCUGCCGUGGGCGCUGGAGAACUGAGGGGGCUGCUCCUAGUACGAGAGGACCGGAGUGGACGCAUCACUGGUGUUCGGGUUGUCAUGCCAAUGGCACUGCCCGGUAGCUAAAUGCGGAAGAGAUAAGUGCUGAAAGCAUCUAAGCACGAAACUUGCCCCGAGAUGAGUUCUCCCUGACUCCUUGAGAGUCCUGAAGGAACGUUGAAGACGACGACGUUGAUAGGCCGGGUGUGUAAGCGCAGCGAUGCGUUGAGCUAACCGGUACUAAUGAACCGUGAGGCUUAACCU
rnacentral:rRNA from 1 species